CAGAUGACAAUCCUGAAUCCCUGGUCACUCCAGUGCUGCCACUCCAGCCUGGGUCAGCCUUCUGCUGGAUUUCAGUACCUUCUGCAGUAGUCUCCAGAGGCCAAUACACGGUGUACAGGAUCCUGACAACCCAGAAAAAAAUCGGACGCAGCCCAGAGGCUCAGCGUGGCAGUGAGCAGAGAGAAGACCCCUGCCCAGGACCACUGCUCAGUUCCAGGUGGUUGGGCAAGACUCAGGGACAGAGGACAGAAUGGAGAGGACAGUCACCGCGCAGCCUCUAAGAACAGAGCCAGAUGCCUCAUUG
rnacentral:lncRNA from 1 species